rnacentral:rRNA from 1 species
UCCGUAGGUGAACCUGCGGAAGGAUCAUUAUUGAAUCAAGCUUGGUUAGGUUGUUGCUGGCUCUCUGGGGGCAUGUGCAUGCCUGACACCAAUCUUUUCACCACCUGUGCACCUUUUUAGUAGACCUGGAUAAUAUUUCUAGGUUUAUGUACUUUCACAUACUCAAUAUGCUUAGAAUGUUAUUUUCAUAAGGGCUUGAUUGCCUUUCAGACCUUUAUACAACUUUCAACAACGGAUCUCUUGGCUCUCGCAUCGAUGAAGAACGCAGCGAAAUGCGAUAAGUAAUGUGAAUUGCAGAAUUCAGUGAAUCAUUGAAUCUUUGAACGCACCUUGCGCUCCUUGGUAUUCCGAGGAGCAUGCCUGUUUGAGUGUCAUGAAAAUCUCAACCUUUUCAAUUUUGUUGAAUUAGGCUUGGAUUUUUUGGGAGUAGUUGCAGGCUUCUCAGAAGUCUGCUCUCCUUAAAUGUAUUAGCGGGGCCCUUGCUGUCUAGCAUUUUGGUGUGAUAAUUAUCUACGCCAUUGUGAACAGCAUAAUAAGGAGUACAGCUUCUAGCAACCUCUGACUUUUUGACCUCAAAUCAGGUAGGACUACCCGCUGGACUUAAGCAUAUCAAUAAGCGGAGGA